ACAGAAGUGCCAGCGGAGGCCAUGGGACAGCAAAUGGAGCUCAGAGACGAGCGACUUGUGGCAGCCUUAUUUAUCUUUCUCCAGUUCUUCCUUCAGAAACAGCCCGCCUUGCUACCUGAGGGCCUCUGGCUCCUCAACAACCUCACUGGUAUCUGUUACAUUCUGCCUAGGCCUGGUCUUUUAUCAUUAUUAAAAUAUUUAUUAAGGCCAAAGGAAGGGUAGAUUUGUUAGGAAACAAAAUACAGAUUGAGGGAAAGGCAGAGAAUAAGGGGGUGGGGAGACUAGGAGGAAAAUUCAAAACCUAUAUAGGAGGGUCCACACCUUUCCCUACCGUGUCAGUGAAGGUCUCUCAUCUUGGUUCCCUGAAA
rnacentral:lncRNA from 1 species